rnacentral:rRNA from 1 species
AUGGUGAGUGCAGAUGCUGAAAUAAAUAUGGUCAAGGAAGCUAUGCUUCAAACUGAUAUGCCAACUGUAGUGAGCAGAGAGCCAACCACCAUCACAGGAGUUCAACAAAUCAAGGGGAAGACUCCCCUUUCAACAGUCCCACCAAAACCACCUAAGCAGCAAAAGAUUGUCAAGUUUGCCAGGGGCACAAAGGGGGAACAGGCCACAAAAGGGGUGCCAAGUUCUACUAGGUUGCUGUCAACUCAGACUGGAAAGAUGCCAACUACAGAUACCAGUGUGCCAACUGAUGUGUCAGUUAGCAGCGUGGUCACAGUCAAAACCACCACAGCUGCUCAGGAAGGCACCACUGCAACUGCAAGCCCCAAGCUGCCUACUCAUAGAGAUGCUUCAAUGCCAAACACAAAAGGAGGUGAUCCUACUACCAAAUGUCGUCCCCAAGAGCUAGCACACAGCAGCCAAGCAAGCCUGCAUCACCAAGAGCUGACUUUCAGCAACCAUUAA